rnacentral:tRNA from 1 species
CGCUGAGAAGCUAAACCGGUUUCAGCAUUAGCCUUUUAAGCUAAAAAUUGGUGCCUACCACACACCCUCAGCGA